CUCGUAGGCGGCCAACUAAGUCGGAUGUGAAAUCCCCAGGCUUAACCUGGGAACUGCGUCCGAUACUGGAUGGCUUGAAUCCGGGAGAGGGAUGCAGAAUUCCAGGUGUAGCGGUGAAAUGCGUAGAUAUCUGGAGGAAUACCGGUGGCGAAGGCGGCAUCCUGGACCGGCAUUGACGCUGAUGAGCGAAAGCUAGGGGAGCAAACG
rnacentral:rRNA from 1 species